rnacentral:sRNA from 1 species
GUGGCUGUAAUGAGGGUCUCUUUUGGUAGAGAGGUUGAGGGCAGGUUUAGGGGGUUGAGCCCUGAGCUGCGCUCGUGACCAGCCUUGGUCCAGGUGGGCAGUGUCCCGACCCUGCUGACCCUGUUCCCGUUCACACCUGCAGUGAUCAUCCCUGAACUCGUGCUGCCCAACCGGGAGGUGGCUUCUGUCCGGGCCAGAGACGAUGAUUCAGGGAACAAUGGCGUCAUCCUGUUCUCCAUCCUCCGAGUAGACUUCAUCUCUAAGGACGGGGCCACCAUCCCUUUCCAGGGUGUCUUCUCGAUCUUCACCUCCUCCGAGGCCGACGUGUUCGCUGGGAGCAUUCAGCCGGUGACCAGCCUUGACUCCACUCUCCAAGGCACCUACCAAGUGACAGUCCAGGCCAGGGACAGACCUUCCUUGGGUCCUUUCCUGGAAGCCACCACCACCCUGAAUCUCUUCACCGUGGACCAGAGUUACCGCUCGCGGCUGCAGUUCUCCACACCAAAGGAGGAGGUGGGCGCCAACAGACAGGCGAUUAAUGCGGCUCUUACCCAGGCAACCAGGACUACAGUAUACAUUGUAGACAUUCAGGACAUAGAUUCUGCAGCUCGGGCCCGACCUCACUCCUACCUCGAUGCCUACUUUGUCUUCCCCAAUGGGUCAGCCCUGACCCUUGAUGAGCUGAGCGUGAUGAUCCGGAAUGAUCAGGACUCGCUGACGCAGCUGCUGCAGCUGGGGCUGGUGGUGCUGGUGAGUGCGGGCAGGGCGGGGCAGCAGGUGGGGCUGCUGAAGACGAGUGUGCUUCCCUCACACUCAUCUUUCUCCAGGGCUCCCAGGAGAGCCAGGAGUCAGACCUGUCGAAACAGCUCAUCAGCGUCAUCAUAGGAUUGGGAGUGGCUUUGCUGCUGGUCCUUGUGAUCAUGACC